CUGGCGGCGUGCCUAAUACAUGCAAGUCGAACGGUCUUUCUAUGGAAGCUUGCUCCACUGAGAAGAUAGUGGCGAACGGGUGAGUAACACGUGGGUAACCUGCCCAUAAGAGGGGGAUAACAUCCGGAAACGGGUGCUAAUACCGCAUAGUUUUCUUGAUCGCAUGAUCGGGAAAGGAAAGACGGCCUUUGUGCUGUCGCUUAUGGAUGGACCCGCGGCGUAUUAGUUAGUUGGUGAGGUAACGGCUCACCAAGACGAUGAUACGUAGCCGACCUGAGAGGGUGAUCGGCCACAUUGGGACUGAGACACGGCCCAAACUCCUACGGGAGGCAGCAGUAGGGAAUCUUCCGCAAUGGACGAAAGUCUGACGGAGCAACGCCGCGUGAGUGAAGAAAAGGUUUUCGGAUCGUAAAACUCUGUUGUCAGAGAAGAACAAGUUGGAGAGUAACUGCUCCAGCCUUGACGGUAUCUGACCAGAAAGCCACGGCUAACUACGUGCCAGCAGCCGC
rnacentral:rRNA from 1 species